rnacentral:lncRNA from 1 species
UGAUACAUUUGAUUUUUUUAUAUUUUACAAAGAAAAAUAAUACAUUUUUCUCUGGGCUGACUUCUUAAGUUACAGCCCAGCUCCUUUAAAAAGUUCUUUUUAACACUGAUGCUUUGACUUGUCCUUGUGCUUUAUGAGGUCACUUGAACUGACUCUUUCAUUACCACAGGGGUGUAAUGUGUUACAAUGGAAAUGCUCUGGGCUUUGAAAUCAGUCAGACCUCAAUUUCGAUUCUAAUUCCUAAAUUUACUGUCUGUUUUGCUUUAAAAUGUUACUAAAACUCUGAGUGUUUCCUCAUUUAUGAAUGGCCAUGUGCAAGAUGUCCCUCAUGCCAGCAUCUUUUCCUUUACUCUGUCAUCAUCAUCAUGGAAAAAUGUAAAGAAAAGAAACAAUAUAUUCUGAGCACCGUGGGUGAGAAGAUAUUUAAAGUCUAUUCUUGUUCUGUUGCAAGUAGAAUUGAAUAUUUUGGAAGGAUAUUAUUGAUUGCUCCCAGAAUCUCCAGGGAAGGUUGAUGAAAGAUUGAGAGAGAAUGUCCAAAAUCAAUCUGCACAACAGAUCCGUCUGUGGAAGACACCACUGUGCCCCCAAUGUGCCCAGCACUCGUGUUGGACCUUGACCCAGGACCACUGCUAGUCCCAGCAAUGCUAGCUUCCUGAAGUUCCUACUGCCUCAGAGUGAAUUCUUAACAAAGUCAGUGACUGGGGAUAUUCCACAUCAGUGGCAAAAGAGGCUGGGAAAACAAGUGUCUAGUAUUUUCAACUACUAUAGUUGACACAACAUGCGGCCCAAGAUUUCCAGAUCUCCUUUGCUCUGAAAACGCAGGGAUGAGAAUACUUCCUCACAAGACCCCACCUCCGGCUGCAGGCAAGACCAGCCACCCCAUGAC